rnacentral:rRNA from 1 species
UAGGGAAUCUUCGGCAAUGGGGGGAACCCUGACCGAGCAACGCCGCGUGAGUGAAGAAGGUUUUCGGAUCGUAAAGCUCUGUUGUUAAGGAAGAACGAGUGUGAGAAUGGAAAGUUCAUACUGUGACGGUACUUAACCAGAAAGGGACGGCUAACUACGUGCCAGCAGCCGCGGUAAUACGUAGUUCCCGAGCGUUGUCCGGAUUUAUUGGGCGUAAAGCGAGCGCAGGCGGUUAGAUAAGUCUGAAGUUAAAGGCAGUGGCUCAACCAUUGUAGGCUUUGGAAACUGUUUAACUUGAGUGCAGAAGGGGAGAGUGGAAUUCCAUGUGGAGCGGUGAAAUGCGUAGAUAUAUGGAGGAACACCGGUGGCGAAAGCGGCUCUCUGGUCUGUAACUGACGCUGAGGCUCGAAAGCGUGGGGAGAGAACAGG